UUUUAGCCCCGAUAGGACUGAAAAUCCUUUUGUGCUGGGGUUCAGCACAAAAGAUUGAAAGGGAUAGCGGGACUGGUC
rnacentral:sRNA from 1 species